UACGGAGGAUCCAAGCGUUCUCCGGAUUUAUUGGGUUUAAAGGGUGCGUAGGCGGCCUGUUAAGUCAGGGGUGAAAGACGGUAGCUCAACUAUCGCAGUGCCCUUGAUACUGAUGGGCUUGAAUGUACUAGAGGUAGGCGGAAUGUGACAAGUAGCGGUGAAAUGCAUAGAUAUGUCACAGAACACCAAUUGCGAAGGCAGCUUGCUAUGGUAUAAUUGACGCUGAGGCACGAAAGCGUGGGGAUCAAACAGG
rnacentral:rRNA from 1 species